rnacentral:rRNA from 1 species
UUCCGGUUGAUCCCGCCGGACCUGACAGCUAUCGGAUUGAUACUAAGCCAUGCGAGUCAUUGUAGUAAUACAAGGCAGACGGCUCAGUAACGCGUAGUCAACCUACCCUGUGGACGGGGAUAACCUCGGGAAACUGAGAAUAAUACCCGAUAGAACAUUAUGCCUGGAAUGGUUUAUGUUUCAAAUAAUUUAUUGCCGUAGGAUGGGACUGCGUCCUAUCAGUUUGUUGGUGAGGUAAUGGCCCACCAAGACUAUUACAGGUACGGGCUCUGAGAGGAGUAGCCCGGAGAUGGGUACUGAGACACGGACCCAGGCCCUAUGGGGCGCAGCAGGCGAGAAAACUUUGCAAUGUGCGAAAGCACGACAAGGUUAAUCCGAGUGGUUUCUGCUAAAGGAACCUUUUGUCAGUCCUAGAAACACUGAUGAAUAAGGGGUGGGCAAGUUCUGGUGUCAGCCGCCGCGGUAAAACCAGCACCUCAAGUGGUCAGGAUGAUUAUUGGGCCUAAAGCAUCCGUAGCCUGCUUUGUAAGUUUUCGGUUAAAUCCAUACGCUCAACGUAUGGGCUGCCGGGAAUACUGCAAAGCUAGGGAGUGGGAGAGGUAGACGGUACUCGGUAGGAAGGGGUAAAAUCCUUUGAUCUAUUGAUGACCACCUGUGGCGAAGGCGGUCUACCAGAACACGUCCGACGGUGAGGGAUGAAAGCUGGGGGAGCAAACCGGAUUAGAUACCCGGGUAGUCCCAGCUGUAAACUAUGCAAACUCAGUGACGCAUUGGCUUGAUGCCAAUGCAGUGCUGCAGGGAAGCCGUUAAGUUUGCCGCCUGGGAAGUACGUACGCAAGUAUGAAACUUAAAGGAAUUGGCGGGGGAGCACCACAAGGGGUGAAGCCUGCGGUUCAAUUGGAGUCGACGCCGGG